rnacentral:snRNA from 1 species
CAGUGUUACAGCUCUUUUAGAAUUUGUCUAGCAGGCUUUCCGGUUUUAUGCCGGCAAGCCCCC